ensembl:lncRNA
AUGCGCCACCAUGCCCAGCUAAUAUUUUGUAUUUUUAGUAGAGAUGGGGUUUUCCCUUUGCUUUCCAAUCCUUCAUCAUUUCUUUUUACCAUUGCAGAUGCUGGGCCAUUACCCUGUGACUCAAAUACCCUUGUCCAUGUUUACUCAUGAAGUAAAAGGGCUUUUGUUAUCCAAGCAAUUUCCUAAGUAAUAUGGCAAGCACUGUGUGUCCCAUCUCAAUGUUAUUAAUAAAAGAGAGCUACUGAUAUUUUUAUUUAACUCUUGGCAUUGUUCUUCAACAGAUACUAGCCAGUCAGUAUAAUAUAAAAUGCUCUCUCUGUCUCUCUCAAAACAGAAGCUAUGAGAAAAAUUCCCUAUACAAUAUCUGUACCUUCUUUGGUUAAUUCCUACCACCAGAAGCUAGAACUUUAGUUAGGCAUAAAAGACUCAUUUUUCCCCAUUGCUCUGCUUUCCAAAUUCUCACUGACAUUCCAGUAAGAAAACCACAGAACCAGAUUGCUUCUAAAAGUUAAAAAGACUCAGCUGGGCACAGUGGCUCAUGCCUGUAAUACCACCACUUUGGGAGGUUGAGGUGGGCAGAUCACCCGAGGUCAGGAGUUCAAGAUCAGCCUGGCCAACAUGGUGAAAUUCUGUCUCUACUAAAAAACACUCAAAAAAUUAGCCAGGCGUGGUGGCGGGCACCUGCAAUUUCAGCUACUCAGGAGGCCGAGGCACGAAAAUGGCUUGAACCUGGAGGCAGAUGUUGGAGACUCAUUGCAGGGAAGUUCAGCCAGGUUAGUUUUUGCUUUAUGUUUUACAGCUUUGGAUGUUGAGUGUCCCAUGUCCUCAUCUGGAAUUUCUAUCCCUUGUAACAGAGUAUAUUUUAUUAAAUGCUUAGUAAGUCUCCACUUUUUCUCACCAUAGUAUCCACUUAGUCAUUGAAAUGCAAUCCUUCACUGUUAGAUGCCACCAUCUCUAGAAAAUCUCUGAAUACCUCCCAUUCCCUCGAACAUAGUCACAACGUGGAUAAAUAAAGCUCUCUUCCCUUGUAUUUUCAUAGCAGCUUCUACCUAUAUCUCUCUGAAUGCUUAAAACACCAUGUUGCUCUAGUCUAUUUAAUUCUUUUUCAGAUCAUAAUGGUAAUGACUAAACUGCCUUGCUAAGUGAAAUAUGGAAGCUUCUCAGUAAAUAUUGGUUAAAUGAAUGCACAGGAAACACUUGACAUGGUUUACGUUAACAGAGUCAUGCAAAUUAACACAGAUUCCCAAGCCCCAGAGGUGUAAAAAAGCAAAGUAAACAACAGAAAGAUUCUUUGUAAUUGAAAGGAACAAUAAAGUUGUAAUUAGUGGAGCUGAUGGUAAAUUUUUUAAGCUACUGAUGAUCACUGAGCUCACAGGUGUACCUGUACAAGACUGCUAUUCAUUUUUCAGUAAGUAUUUAUUGAGUGCCUACUGUUUGCUCGAGACUGAAACUUUGAAGAGGAAUGUAGACAAUUUUGCCUGAGGAUAAAAACCAAGGGUGAAUUUUGAAUUCUUUAUUAAUUGGAUUUUAUAAAAGCUCUUUUUCAUGGAUUUUCCAUGGUGGACUCAAAGGAUUAUAUCUUCAGGAAUUCUUACUCUACAAUACUUCAUUAUAAAAACAGGCUACUAACACUAAUCUGAGUCUUACUAUGUGCCAGUCUCUUUACUAAGCACUUUAUAUGAAUUAUCAUGUUCCAUCCUCAUAACACCCCAUUUUGAAAAUGAGGAUCUGGAGACACAGAGAAGUAAAGUCAUUUUGCCCAAGGCCAUAGAGUUGCAGAACUGAGCUCCGGGCAGGCAAUUAAUCAUGCCACUGUGCUCCUCCCCAUGGUUUCCAAAUAGCACCCUCUUCAUCUCCCCUCUAUAUAGGGGACAAUCAUUCUCCAUAUGCCUCUGUAAAUCUUGGCUCUGGGUCAAGAUUUAGCCCUUAUGUCUUCCUGCUGAUACCUCAUUUAUUACUCCUUGUGUUCAGAUAGUCUGAUGUCCCCACAAUCCCACCUUUGGACAUCCAGAGAUUCUUUGCACAGUGCUAACCUCCUACUCUAUAUCUGAAAAGACACAAAUAAUAUUAGGACCCCUGCAGAAAGAACAAGACAGGUCUAUGGAGCACGUCGAGAUGAGAAACUGGGCACACUGGGCCCACACAAAGCCCAGGAGACAGUAGCGUCCUUUAAGGCCUUUAGGAGAAUAGAAAGAAGCCUCCUCAUUCUGAAGAAAUGAAAUCCCAUGGUGAAGGGAGGUAUGCUUCACUUGACUCAGCAGUCUCCCUUUCGACCACAGACCAUUGACUCUGGCAAGCUUCACAUGAAACUUUCUCCAACUUGCCUUAUCAAAGGGAAGCCUGCUACUGUGCAGAGAGGCUUUGAGGCUUGAAGAGGAGAAA